rnacentral:rRNA from 1 species
UACGUAGGGGGCAAGCGUUGUCCGGAAUCAUUGGGCGUAAAGCGCGUGUAGGCGGCCUGAAAGGUCAGCUGAUGAAAACUCGAGGCUCAACCUCGAGACGUCGGUCGAAACCAUCUGGCUAGAGUCCGGAAGAGGAGUGUGGAAUUCCCGGUGUAGCGGUGGAAAUGACGCAGAUAUCAGGAAGAACACCCGUGGCUAAGGCGGCUCUCUAGUACGGUACUGACGCUGAGACGCGAAAGCGUGGGGAGCGAACAGG